GAUGAAGAACGUAGCGAAAUGCGAUACGUAAUGUGAAUUGCAAAUUCAGUGAAUCAUCGAGUCUUUGAACGCACAUUGCGCCCCCUGGUAUUCCGGGGGGCAUGCCUGUCCGAGCGUCAUUGCUGCCCUCAAGCACGGCUUGUGUGUUGGGCCCCGUCCUCCGAUCCCGGGGGACGGGCCCGAAAGGCAGCGACGGCACCGCGUCCGGUCCUCGAGCGUAUGGGGCUUUGUCACCCGCUCUGUAGGCCCGGCCGGCGCUUGCCGAUCAACCCAAAUUUUUUAUCCAGGUUGACCUCGGAUCAGGUAGGGAUACCCGCUGAACUUAAGCAUAUCAAUAAGCGGAGGA
rnacentral:misc_RNA from 1 species